UAAGUAAGCAUUUAGGUGAGUGAGUCUCAAACAAGAAAAGGAGAUGGUGAAUUCCUCUUAUGUUACCAUCAUUCUGUGUGCUUUCUGAUCUAGAACAUGAUUGAAACUUCAUUAAGUAGUUAAAAUGGUUUUAGCUAGAUGUUUAAUAGACCUGGGAAUGAAUUACUUAAAUAACUCUAACAUGCCUUAUGUUUCUAACAGGUAUUUCUUUUAGGCCAAACCUAUUACGCAUGACAUGAUGCAUACAAGGGUUAUUCAAGAUUUUUACACAAGAAAUAUAAAGACAAGAAAGAUGAAAAAUAAAUGAAAUACAGUGAAAAGAAAACAUAACAUAACAAAUAUAAUAGGGUGGGGAAUGAAAGAAACAACAUGUGUCCUAAAGUUAAGUUAUUCUAAAUCAGUGAAUGGGAGUGAAGAGUAAAUGGUAUUUGUGACUUAGAACUUACAGAAUUAAGAUUGUAAUGACACCAGUUCAACUUUUCAAUUGCAAUCCCCUCAUUAUUGAAAAAAGUGAUUCUUUUGUUCCAUCUAAAGGCAACAUAACAUACAAAAGAGCACUCUCCAAGCCAAGUGUGAUCUCUUUCUAAGUCACCAUUCCCAACUUGUAGAUAAUUGUAGCUGAUUCAAUUAUAAACCAAACAACCCAAAAGAAAAAUAACAAAAACAAUGCUUAUGAUUCCUCUGCCAUAGGAGCUGAAGCAAUAGAUCAGUAA
rnacentral:misc_RNA from 1 species